AGUGAACGCUGGCGGUAGGCCUAACACAUGCAAGUCGAACGGCAGCACAGGAGAGCUUGCUCUCUGGGUGGCGAGUGGCGGACGGGUGAGGAAUACAUCGGAAUCUACUCUGUCGUGGGGGAUAACGUAGGGAAACUUACGCUAAUACCGCAUACGACCUACGGGUGAAAGCAGGGGACCUUCGGGCCUUGCGCGAUUGAAUGAGCCGAUGUCGGUUUAGCGAGUUGGCGGGGUAAAGGCCCACCAAGGCGACGAUGCUUAGGUGGUUUGAGAGGAUGAUCAGCCACACUGGAACUGAGACACGGUCCAGACGCCUACGGGAGGCAGCAGUGGGGAAUAUUGGACAAUGGGCGCAAGCCUGAUCCAGCCAUACCGCGUGGGUGAAGAAGGCCUUCGGGUUGUAAAGCCCUUUUGUUGGGAAAGAAAUCCAGCUGGCUAAUACCCGGUUGGGAUGACGGUACCCAAAGAAUAAGCACCGGCUAACUUCUUGCCAGCAGCCGCCGUAA
rnacentral:rRNA from 1 species